AAGGAAGGUUAUUUAAAAUUAAGAUUAAAAAGUGAUGCUGAAGUUCGUUGCUUGUAUCGAAAAGACUUAUUUGAUUCGUCGAAUAAACGUAAGAAUUUCAAAUCGACGAGUCGACUUUUGAAGGAUCAGAAAAAAAUUCAAGAAAAAUUAUUCUCGAACAAUGCUACAAAUUUGGAAAUAAAAAAUUACUCGACUUCGGACAAUUCGUCUAUGGUUUACGAUUAUUUAAUGAUGAAUAAUAAGAGAAGAAUGCAAAGAGAGAGAGAAUUAAUUGACAAGGAAACGAAACGUGGAUUUUAUCGAAAAUUCGACGUAAUUCAAAACGGGAAGGAAACUCAUGAAUCGAUGAACCUGACAAAUUGGAAAGAAAUAUCAAGGGGAAAGUUAAGAAAGAAUAAAUCUGCUCCAAAAAUGUCGAGACACGCGAUAUCGAAUGAAAAACUUAAACGAAGAAAUCGAAAAGAUUAUCGUUUUGGAUUAGAAGAGAAAUUCAAUGAUGAUUCUACAAUUACGUUGGUAAAUGGAUUUUUACAAGAUACAAAUUUUCAUACAGUUAAUAUAAGAAUCCUAAAGCAUGAACA